AUACUCAGUAUAGGCAGCACAUAUACUAAAAUUAGAAUGAUGCAGACAAAAUUCAUAUGGCCCCUGAGCAAGGAUGACAUGCAAAUUUGUGACACAUAUCAUACUCAG